rnacentral:rRNA from 1 species
GAUGAACGCUAGCGACAGGCUUAACACAUGCAAGUCGAGGGGCAGCAUGAACUUAGCUUGCUAAGUUUGAUGGCGACCGGCGCACGGGUGAGUAACGCGUAUGCAACUUACCUAUCAGAGGAGAAUAGCUCAUCGAAAGAUGAAUUAAUGCCCGAUGGUAUCUUAAGCACGCAUGAGAUUAAGAUUAAAGAUUUAUCGGUAAGCGAUGGGGAUGCGUUCCAUUAGGCAGUUGGCGGGGUAACGGCCCACCAAACCUACGAUGGAUAGGGGUUCUGAGAGGAAGGUCCCCCACAUUGGAACUGAGACACGGUCCAA